ACUCAAAUGAAUAGACGGGGACUCACACAAGCGGUGGACCAUGUGGCUUAAUUCGACAACAAACGAAGAACCUUACCAGGACUAGAAACCCAUACGAAAUCCAGAUGAAAGUUUGGACCUCGCAAGACGUAUGGGCAGGUGCUGCAUGGUUGUCGUCAGUUCGUGUCUUGAGACGUACCGUUAAUUCGGGUAACGAACGCAACCCUUGCUCUGUGUUUUACAUGUCACAGAGGACUGCCCGAGAUAAUUGGGAGGAAGGUGAGGAUGACGCCAAAUCAGCAUGGCCCUUGAUGUCCUGGGCUGCACACGUGGUACAAUGGCAAGUACAAUGGGAAGCAAAGCCGUAAGGCGAAGCUAAUCUCACCAAAGCUUGCCUCAGUUCGGAUUGAGGGCUGAAACUCGCCCUCAUGAAGCUGGAAUCGCUAGUAAUCGCCAAUCAGCUACGUGGCGAUGAAUACGUUCCUGAGUCUUGUACACACCGCCCGU
rnacentral:rRNA from 1 species